UUGCUAUCUGCGAUAUAAAAGAUUCGAACCUGCAGCAGGUUCGAGUCGAACGAAGUGAGACAACGGAGCCGCCUGCGGCGACGGCCCGAAGGGCGAGGCAAAGCUGAGUCAUCCUGCACGACCCACCA
rnacentral:sRNA from 1 species